rnacentral:rRNA from 1 species
AUUGAACGCUGGCGGCAGGCCUAACACAUGCAAGUCGAACGAGUGGCGGACGGGUGAGUAAUGUCUGGGAAACUGCCUGAUGGAGGGGGAUAACUACUGGAAAAGGUAGCUAAUACCGCAUACCAUCAGAUGUGCCCAGAUGGGAUUAGCUAGUAGGUGGGGUAAUGGCUCACCUAGGCGACGAUCCCUAGCUGGUCUGAGAGGGUGACCGGCCACACUGGAACGGAGCCACGGUCCAGACUCCUACGGGAGGCAGCAGUGGGGAUGAUUGCACAAUGGGCGCAAGCCUGAUGCAGCCAUGCCGCGUGUGUGAAGAGGGCUUUCGGGUUGUAAAGCACUUUCAGCGGGGAGGCGUUACCCGCAGAAGAAGCACCGGCUAACUCCGUGCCAGCAGCCGCGGUAAUUC